GUCUUUACUGACGCUGAGGCACGAAAGCGUGGGGAGCAAACAGGAUUAGAUACCCUGGUAGUCCACGCCCUAAACGAUGAGUACUAAACGUUGGAUAAAACCAGUGUUGAAGUUAACACAUUAAGUACUCCGCCUGAGUAGUACGUACGCAAGUAUGAAACUUAAAGGAAUUGACGGGACUCCGCACAAGCGGUGGAUCAUGUUGUUUAAUUCGAAGGUACCCGAAAAACCUCACCAGGUCUUGACAUGCUUUUGCAAAGCUGUAGAAAUACAGUGAAGGUUAUCAAAAGCACAGGUGGUGCAUGGUUGUCGUCAGCUCGUGUCGUGAGAUGUUGGGUUAGUCCCGCAACGAGCGCAACCCUUGUUGUUAAUUGCCAUCAUUAAGUUGGGGACUUUAGCAAGACUGCCAAUGAUAAAUUGGAGGAAGGUGGGGACGACGUCAAAUCAUCAUGCCCCUUAUGACCUGGGCUACAAACGUGAUACAAUGGCUGUUACAAAGGGUAGCUGAGG
rnacentral:rRNA from 1 species